rnacentral:tRNA from 1 species
GCCGCUAUCGUCUAGGGGUUAGGACAUCUGGUUCUCAGCCAGAAAACCGGGGUUCGAAUCCCCGUAGCGGUACCA